rnacentral:rRNA from 1 species
GAUGAACGCUGGCGGCGUGCCUAAUACAUGCAAGUCGAGCGAACAGACGAGGAGCUUGCUCCUCUGACGUUAGCGGCGGACGGGUGAGUAACACGUGGAUAACCUACCUAUAAGACUGGGAUAACUUCGGGAAACCGGAGCUAAUACCGGAUAAUAUAUUGAACCGCAUGGUUCAAUAGUGAAAGACGGUUUUGCUGUCACUUAUAGAUGGAUCCGCGCCGCAUUAGCUAGUUGGUAAGGUAACGGCUUACCAAGGCAACGAUGCGUAGCCGACCUGAGAGGGUGAACGGCCACACUGGAACUGAGACACGGUACAGACUCCUACGGGAGGCAGCAGUAGGGAAUCUUACGCAAUGGGCGAAAGCGUGACGGAGCAAAGCCGCGUGAGUGAUGAAGGUCUUCGGAUCGUAAAACGCUGUUAUUAGGGAAGAACAAAUGUGUAAGUAACUAUGAACGUCUUGACGGUACCUAAUCAGAAAGCCACGGCUAACUACGUG